rnacentral:sRNA from 1 species
ACCUAAACCCGGCAGUAGUGGCAGCUCCAGAUCCUUCAUCUGGACUAUAACGGAUGACGGGACAGGAA